GAGAAAGCAAUGACAGGGAUAAGUAAGCAGACAAGUGAUGCUCCAGAAAGCCGGUGGUUGAUGCAAACCGGUGUGUCACGUCCGCCGAAUGGCCCCUGGAGCGCUGAGCGCAGAACCAUAGAUGCACCAGAAGGUGCCUAUAUGAAGUAUGCCGGCCGUCUUAUCCACGUUACGGAUUUCGAAAGAUUCUUCGGCAGAUACAAGCAUGUAUGUCGAUGAAUAAUUAGGGUGGCACCACGGUCUCUCGUCCCUUGC
rnacentral:ncRNA from 1 species